rnacentral:rRNA from 1 species
UACGGAGGGAGCUAGCGUUAUUCGGAAUUACUGGGCGUAAAGCGCACGCAGGCGGCUUUGUAAGUAAGAGGUGAAAGCCCAGAGCUCAACUCUGGAAUUGCCUUUUAGACUGCAUCGCUUGAAUCAUGGAGAGGUCAGUGGAAUUCCGAGUGUAGAGGUGAAAUUCGUAGAUAUUCGGAAGAACACCAGUGGCGAAGGCGGCUGACUGGACAUGUAUUGACGCUGAGGUGCGAAAGCGUGGGGAGCAAACAGG